GCUUGGAGACUGUCUCUGGGCAUCUCCAGCUCAAGGCUCUGGGGUUUCGUCUGUGCUCGGAGAACAGGCUGCCUUCCUCCCCAGGGGGUGCUCACAGGUGGCCCUGCUCCUUCAUCCACAGGCCGCUUCACCAUCCCCGUCUCCCCUGGUUGUCAGGCUUUCUCACACACCUGUCACGUCUUCCAGGGGGUUGCUGACUGUGCAGUGCAAGCUGUUUGCAUCUCCUCUUUCCCUACAAGGGCCCUGGAUGGGAAGAGUGUUGAGCAAGUGUCGGAGGGCCCUGAGCACGAGAAACAUCCAAGUCAUUUUCCCACCCGUGUAGGAUCUCAGGGCCCCCCACUCUGCAGCUGGGAAAACUGAGCCCCCGAGAAGGGAGGCAGGCCAUUUUAUCCUGAGCUCCCCUGCUGAGUUCGUGGAAGGCCAGAAUGGAGACAAUUCACUGCCUCUCCUGCUGCUGCUGCUGCUGCUAAGUCGCUUCAGUCGUGUCCGACUCUGUGCGACCCCUUAGACAGCAGCCCACCAGGCUCCCCCGUCCCUGGGAUUCUCCAGGCAAGAACACUGGAGUGGGUUGCCAUUUCCUUCUCCAAUGCAUGAAAGUGAAAAGUGGAAGUGAAGUCACUCAGUCAUGUCUGACUCUUAGCGACCCCACGGACUACCAGGCUCCUCCUUCCAUGGGAUUUUCCAGGCAAGUUCCCAUUAACAUACGGGUCCCCCUCACACUCUUGCUUCAUCAGCCCUCACACACAAAACCACACUCUGGCCCUUGACUUCACAGAUCUUAAAGAACCAGAAAGAAGAGAAAGAGAACUCUAUUCUUCCCAGACUUAAUAUAGAUCGGUUUGGUAAUGCCAUUCCCAAUAACUGGAUGCUCGGAUGUUGCGUGGAAUAGAGCACACUUUGCGUCUCCACGGGACUUCAGAGUUUACAUCUGUGGCUCCCAGUGCCUUCACUCUUUGGCCUCACCUUUGACAGAUGAGGUCGUGCAAUACAGAGAAAAAUGACUCGCCCUUGGUCACUUUGUGUUGGGCAGAGUCUAGCCCAGAAGAGUCUUCUGACCCCUACCCUUGUCUCUCUCUCCCACUCAGCACUAGAUUCUGGGUUCUAAUGCCAGCUCAGCUGCAAAUGAGCUGUGUGACCUGAGACAUGUCAUUUCAGC
ensembl:lncRNA